UACGGGGGGAGCAAGCGUUGUUCGGAUUUACUGGGCGUAAAGGGCGCGUAGGCGGUCAGCACAAGUCAGUUGUGAAAUCUCCGGGCUUAACUCGGAAAGGUCAACUGAUACUGUGCGACUAGAGUGCGGAAGGGGCAACUGGAAUUCUCGGUGUAGCGGUGAAAUGCGUAGAUAUCGAGAGGAACACCUGCGGCGAAGGCGGGUUGCUGGGCCGACACUGACGCUGAUGCGCGAAAGCGUGGGGAGCAAACGGG
rnacentral:rRNA from 1 species